AGAUGAACGAAGCACCCCGCUCGCAGGAGACUGCGGGCGAACCCAUGACGGGGCGUCCCCAGCCCCGUUCUGGUCGCGUCUUCGGGCGCACUGGAGCAUCCAGCUCCGGAAUUCCUCACCGAUCGGA
rnacentral:ncRNA from 1 species